CAGCCGCCACGGGAAUACGUAGGUGGCAAGCGUUGUCCGGAAUUAUUGGGCGUAAAGGGCUCGCAGGCGGUUUCUUAAGUCUGAUGUGAAAGCCCCCGGCUCAACCGGGGAGGGUCAUUGGAAACUGGGAAACUUGAGUGCAGAAGAGGAGAGUGGAAUUCCACGUGUAGCGGUGAAACGCGUAGAGAUGUGGAGGAACACCAGUGGCGAAGGCGACUCUCUGGUCUGUAACUGACGCUGAGGAGCGAAAGCGUGGGGAGCGAACAGGAUUAGAUACCCGCGUAGUCCCUGUCUCUUAUAC
rnacentral:rRNA from 1 species